UAAAAAUAUUAUUAUUUUGAAAAUUCUACACUGACAGAAAACCUACAAAUACGUACAAGCAACUCUAAAAAGAAAACUUUUUUAUGCCAGAAAUACGCUGGACGCCUCACACUGCUUUCAAGCUUUUGAAUUUUUGCUCGAUACUAAUUGAAACCCUGCUUAAUCGAGUCGUAGUCAUGCCUUCAAAACACGCAGUUAAUACAACCGCCUCGCAUAUAUGUAUGUAUGUACAACAAAAAUGUAUGUGUGUAUGUUCAAGAGACAACAGUAAAUAAUAGUUGAUGCAAAUAACUUGUCGCAUUCAUUGUCAAGGCAAGCCGCGAAGUAAUCAGAUAUCGAUAUGCAAUAAACAAAGUAUUGACCAAUUGUCAAUAAUAAAUUCAAUUGCAAAUAUAUGUAAAUAAUUUGAUUCAGUUAUUUAUAGUACUCACAAACAAGGCACCGUAAAUACUUAUAUUGAAUAUGAUCCGUUAGGUGGAUUUGAAACCGCAGGGUUGUAAUUUGACAAACGUCAAACUUAACUGAUUAAACCAAUGUGUUCGUAACCUCAAAUAUUAAAUGUUAUAAUUAUAACGGUACCAAGUGUUGUAUGCAAAAAUUUUCAAAUUGUAAAGAUUGGGCAAAUACAUACAUACAUAAGUGAUUUAAGUAGUAUUACGGACUAAAAAGCGAGUUUGACAAGUCGUUCUAUUUCUUCGAUAUUAGCAACCGGAACAUCGAGCAUUGCUCUAAUUGCAUAUAAGGAGAACUUUCAACGAACAAAGGAGCGAGUUAAGUAAGUUGUGCUUGUUUCUUCUAAUCUAGAACAAUAGCGGCGAAGCGAACGAGUUGUGGGAAUGCAUUAAAUAAUUUUAGGUUACAAAAAGCUUAUGGAAUGCUAAUGGAAGGAGAGGCCGAAGUGUGUCAAUAAAAAUAUUUGUUGCUUCUCCACUGUCUCUAAUUUUAGUUUGACUUAAGCGUAUAUUUAUAUUAAGACAUUAUAAAAGAUAAUUAUUUUUUUGUUUUGAAAUUUUUAUAUAGAAACGUAUACUGUAUACACAUGUAUAUGUAACUCUAAACCCUUAAGACUUGUACUUAAUAUAAUA